GGAGUUGUAGCUCAGUGGUUGAGUGCUUGCCUCACAUGCAUGAGACACUGAGUUCGAUCCUCAGCAUCACAU
rnacentral:tRNA from 1 species